AGCAACAGUGAGCUCUGAGUACGAUAAUCUGGCAAGGGAGGGACACGCACCGCGGCCCACCUGACCCGCUGACUGACCGGCCCCGUGGAGGACCCGGCGGACCCGUACCAGUUUGAGGUGGAGGUGGGCGAAGUCUCACCACCACCACCACCACCACACACCACCAUUGCCUCCGCCGCCGCAGCCAUGAAGAUAAAUAUAAAAUUAUUGCCCAUCAAGGCUCAUUUCUUUCUUAUUUUUGCCGGAGUGGCCCCAAUGCUUCCGUUCUUGCCCGUCUACAUCCGUCAGCAGGGCAUCUCUCCGGGCGGCAUUGGGCUCAUCUACACCAUCCUUCCCUUCACUGGUCUGCUGGCGAAGGCGGGCUCGGGGCUGCUGUCGGACUGGCUGAGGAUUCACCGCGCCGUGUUCCUGUCUGCGGUGGUGGUCUGUGGGCUGGGCUUCUUCAGCAUAUACUUCUGCCCACCCAUGCCUCUGAAGACCGACCCAAAGCCUGCGAACGUGACCUUGACCUGUGACCUCCAAGCCACUCAGAUGACCUUUUGCUCUCCGUCCCAGCGUUGCGUGCAGGAGGACUUUCUCAGCGGACUAGCAGACUCUCGUGUGGUGACCUGCCAGAUGACAUGUGACAUAACCAAAGAAGAAAAGAAGAAGAAGAAGAUUGAUCCAAACACGAGGGAAGAGACAGGAGAAGACAGAGGACCCGGGACAGACUACAACAACGGGACGAGCAACAACAACAGCAGGGACUUGUGCGAGGCUUGGGGUGUCACGGACUGUCCCAAGGAGCGUCUGAACUUAACCUUUACGAGCGAUUUGUCGGACUAUUCCAAGAAGCGACAUUGUACAUUCUUCCCCUUGUACAAUGUGACGGUCGCUGGUGUGGAGCUCACCACCCCAACCUGCCCCAAUACAACCUCCACAACCACCACCACCGUCACCACCAAAUGCUCCACCACCUGCGAUGAUGACGCCCUGAUGGUGUUCCUCGGGGCUCCACCUACCAGUCCGCCCACCAGUUACGAGGAGGUGCUGUCCCACUCCCAGUUCUGGCUCCACCUCCUCUGCAUGGUCAUAGCCUGGUGUGGCCUGGCUAUCACUGUGGUCAUGAGCGAUACCAUAUGUUUCCAGCUGCUGGGUGCGGAUGGUCACAAGUAUGGCCAGCAGCGGCUCUUCGGAUCCCUGGGGUGGGGCACGCUGGUGGUGGUCACGGGCGCCCUCAUCGAUUACGCCUCCGAGGGCCGUGCCGAGAAGGACUACACUCCGGCCUUUGUGUUGGCCCUGGCUAUACUGUUUGUCGACCUCCUGGCGGCCACGAGACUACAGGUUGAGGGGCGAGAGAAGCAAGCUGGGGCUGUGGCAGGAGCUGUGGUACGCCUGGUGUGCGAGCCUCGUGUGGUGCUGUUCAUCCUCUGCUGUGUUGUGGUGGGCAUCUCAACCGGCAUUCUGUGGACAUACCAGCUGAUGUUAGUCGAGGAUGUCGCCUUCACCUGGGACUGCCAUUUCGAACGCCUCAAGCUUCUGCAAGGCCUAGUGAUGGGGGUCCAGUGCUUCGGCGGAGAGCUCCCCUUCUUCUUCCUGUCUGGGUGGUUCAUACGUAAGCUCGGACACGCCGGAGCCAUGUCGCUGGUCAUCGGAGUCUUUGGUCUACGCUAUGUGCUGUACUAUUCCGUUUCAAAUCCGUGGUGGUUCCUGCCGAUUGAGUUGCUGAAUGGUUUUACGUUCGGGAUCUUUUACGCAACCAUGACCUCGUACGCAAGUCGGGUCGCGCCGCCUGGGUCCGAGGCGACGCUGCAGGGGAUUGUGGGCGCGGCGUUCGAGGGUAUUGGGGUGGCCACCGGGGGCUUCGUCGGGGGAGCGCUGUUCUUCACGGUGGGCGGGUCCCGGAUGUUCCUAUACACGGGGCUUUUCAACAUCCUCUUCACGGCAGCCAACAUCACCCUGCAUAUUAUCCUCAACCGUUGCUGGCCGCCUCUGUCGACACCCCCGGGGGGCAGCUCCUCCCCCGGUGGGUAUGUGCCGCCCAGUGACAGCAUGAGGCCGGUGGCAGCUACUGAGGAGGACCUGGACGAGGGCUUCUAAUAUAUACCCCCGGGCGAGUCCAUUACCUGGCCGGCGGGGGAGGAAGGUUGGCACUAGGAUGGUGAUUGGUGAUUUUUAUUAUUUUUAUUAUUAUUAUUAUUAUUAUUGUUGUUAUUUUUAUUUCUAUUGUUAUUGUUGUUAUAAGUUAUGACACCUAUAUAGAGUUUUACAUAUGUACACACACGCGCGCACACACACACACACACACACACACACACACACACACACACACACACACAUACAUACACACAUACAUACACUGCUUUGGUUCCUAUUAUGUGCGUAUCUGUUUGUGUACGCAUUUCUGUAGUUAGGUUGUACAUGCUUUCUGUUUCUGUGUGCGUAUGUUAUGAAAUACGCUCAUGGUGUAUGAUUUAUCAAUGCAAUGUGUGUGCGCGUAUGUGUGUGUGCGUGUGUGUGAGGUUAAUUUUAUGUAUGUAUUUCUUACACACACACACACAUACACACACACACAUACACACACACACACACCUACACACACACACACAAGUUAUUCCUCCAUUCAAGCUAGCCUGGCAGACAAGCUCCUCCCCCUUCCCUCCUAGCUAGUCUCCCAUUGGCUAAUCCACAGGCUGCUCGUGAUUGGUGGAGGCUGGGUGGUGGGCGGGGCCUAUCUGCCAGGGUUAUAUGAAUGGGGUCACACACACACACACACACACACACACACACACACACACACACACACACACACACACACACACAUUCAUAAAUAACAAGUGCCAGAUAUUGCCUUAAACAGCAGUGCCUCAAGGUGCUUAUGAAAGGGGUUCCAAUCCUCUGUGUGGCUCUGGGAGUGUGGCAAAGAGGAUCGAGAUGUUAUGAAGGGAUUUGAAGUGCAAAGAGGAGGAUUGAGGUGUCAUGAAGGGAGUUUGAAGGUCAUGGAAAGAGGGUUGAAGUGUAUGGGAAAGGAUUAAGUUGUUUUGAAUGGGAUUUAAGGUCAUGGAAAGAGGAUUAAAGUGUAAAGAAGAGGAUUAAGAUGUUGUGAAUGGAUUUGAAGGCAUAGAAAGAGGAUUCAGAUCAUACCAAAGAGGAUUAAGAUGUUGUGAAUGGAUUUGAAGGCAUAGAAAGAGGAUUGAAGUGUACAGGAAAGGAUCAAGUGUGUAAUGAGUGGGAUUGAAAAGGUUUGAGGGCAUGAAAAGAGGGUUGAGAUCAUACCAAAGAGGAUUAAGAUGUUGUGAAGGGAUUUGAAGGCAUAGAAAGAGGAUUGAAGUGUACAGGAAAGGAUCAAGUGAGUAAUGAAUGGGAUUGAAAGCAUUUGAGGGCAUACCAAAUAGGAUUAAGAUGACGUAAAGGGAUUUGAAGGCAUAGAAAGAGGAUUGAAGGAUGAUGAAGAGGAUCAAGAGUCUGCCAAGAGGAUUAAGAUAUUAUGAAAAGGAUUUGAAGGCAUUUAAAGAGGAUUGAAGGAUAAAGAAGAAGAAUUUGAGUAUGCCAAAGAAGAUUAAAGUAUUGAAAAGAGUGUUGGAUCUUAAAGAGGAGGAUUGAAGAGUCUGCCAAGGGGAUUAAGAUAUUAUGAAAGGGAUUUGAAUGCAUUUAAAGAGGAUUAAAGCAUAAAGAAGAAGAAUUUGAGUAUACCAAAGAAGAUUAAAGUAUUGAAAAGAGUGUUGGAUCUUAAAGAGGAGGAUUGAAGAGUCUGCCAAGGGGAUUAAGAUGUUAUGAAAGGGAUUUGAAGGCAUUUAAAGAGGAUUGAAGCACAAGGAAGAAGAAUUUGAGUAUACCAAAGAAGAUUAAAGUAUUGGAAAGAGUGUUGGAUCUUAAAGAGGAGGAUUGAAGAGUCUGCCAAGGGGAUUAAGAUAUUAUGAAAAGGAUUUGAAGGCAUAACUUUUUAAUAUGAUAAGCGAAAUCUGAACCAGAACUUUACAACUUAUUUAUUUUAAUGGAAGCUUUUUAAAAUAUGCUAAUUCGACACUGAGCAAAAAAACUAUACAACGUUUUCUUUCUUUUUCUUGAAGUUGUAUGAAGGAAAGAUAUUUAGCUUCACAAUUAGAAUGAGAAAAUUUUAGAACUUUAAUUAGGGAAGAGGAAGGAAGAGGAGUAGGAGGAGGAGGAGGAGGGGGGAGGUCGAAGGGGGUGGACAUCGCCUCCCCCCCCCUCCCCCUGGCCACCAUCCCCAGGGGUCCCUCUCGGCGAGCUCCCCCCAAAAUUGAUACUAACUUUGACGUGACGCAAAAAAUAAAUUUAAAAAAAGAAGAAAAAAAAGAAAAUCAUAUUCAUCCCUAUAGAGGAAAUUUAAGUCUCUGGCAGAGGUGAAAAUGACAAGUAUAUGACAAAAAAAGUAAAUAAUAAUAAUAAUAAUAAUAAUAAUAAUAAUAAUAAUAAUAAUAAUAAUAAUAAUAAAAAUGGAGUCAUGCGCAUCAAUAAGGAAUUUGAGAGUUUCUGGCGGAGAUUGAGGCGAACAGUAUUAAGAUUUUAGCCGGUAGAAUCGCCCGGUAGAAUCACCCGGUAGAAUCGCCCGGUAGAAUCACCCGGUAGAAUCGCCCGGUAGAAUCGCCCGGUAGAAUCGCCCGGUAGAAUCGCUCGGUAGAAUCGCCCGGUAGAAUCGCUCGGUAGAAUCGCUCGGUAGAGGUGCCGGUAGUAUUGGUAGCCGAGGGUGGGAGAGAGGAAGGUAUAGAUGAUGCGAUUCUUUGUUUUAUUAUUGACGAGUUUAUUGUUUAUUUUGGUGCUAUAGAGGUUAGGAGAGGGGCUCUCUCUCUCUCUCUCUCUCUCUCUCUCUCUCUCUCUCUCUCUCUCUCUCUCUGUUUAGUUUUCUCUCUGUUAAGUCUUUCUCUUUCAUUCUCUCUCUCUCUCUCUCUCUCUCUCUCUCUCUCUCUCUCUCUCUCUCUCAUCAUAUCAUAAUAGUGAAAAAUAAAGAUAAUUUAGAAAUAAAGAAAAUAAAUAUAAAAAUAAGUUCGGUAGACUAGUACGGCAGGUCCCCAAUCUAAUUUCCCGAGGGUUUUAUUUCCCGGGAAAAUUUUGGAUCCACUCAAAAUUGUACUGUAUCAAUUUUUUUUUAAUAUAUUUUGUUUUAUUUUAUUUUAUUAUUUUUUUUAUUUCAUAUUUUUUCCCCGUUGAACUAUCCUGAACCCCGAUUUCCCAAGGUUUUAAUUUCCCGGGAAAAUUUUGGAUCUACUCAAAAUUUUACUAUACCCAUUUUUAAUUAUUUUGUUGUUUUAUUUUAUUUAUUAACUACCCCUGAAAAUGCCCACAACUCCUACAAAAGCCUUGUCAAAUAUGAUUCCUUAGGUUCAUGGUACAGCGGAAGGGUCACACUACCACCAGGGUCAUAAAACUACCCCUGGAAAUGCCCACAACUCCUAUGAAAGCCUUGUCAAAUAUGCGUUUCCUUAGGUUCAUGGUACAGAGGAAGGAUCAUAAAACCACCCCAGAAAAUACCCACAACUCCUAUGAAAGACUUAUCAAAUAUGCGUUUCUUUAGGUUCAUGGUACAGAGGAAGGGUCACACUACCACCAGGGUCAUAAAACCACCCCAGAAAAUACCCACAACUCCUAUGAAAGACUUAUCAAAUAUGCGUUUCUUUAGGUUCAUGGUACAGAGGAAGGGUCACACUACCACCAGGGCCAUAAAACCACCCCUGGAAAUACCCACAACUCCCACGAAAGCCUUGUCAAAUUUGCGUUUCCUUAGGUUCAUGGUACAGAGGAAGGGUCAUAAAACCACCCCAGGAAAUGCCCACAAUUCCUGCAAAAGCCUUGUCAAAUAUGCGUUUCCUUAGGUUCAUGGUACAGAGGAAGGGUCAAGCUACCACCAGGGCCAUAAAACCACCCCUGGAAAUGCCCACAACUCCCACGAAAGCCUUGUCAGAUAUGUGAACUUGGGCAGCGAAAUGUUUUAAAAUACAACCCAUAGAAAUAAAAUAGAAUUAGCUAGACAGAGGAAUUAGAUAAUGUAUUUUUGCACCGCCCCGCGCACACCGGCGAAGCAGUCUUAUGUAACACAGACUGUCGUAGAUAGCUUUCUUAUCCCUGUUGUUGUUGUUGUUGCUCCGCUCGCUGCCUCCGCCACACAUAAAGGUUCAAAUUCCACAUUCACUGCAAAGAUAGAGGUUCAAAGUCCACAUUCACCGUAAAGAUAGAGGUUCAGAUUCCACAUUCACUGCAAAGAUAGAGGUUCAAAUUCCACAUUCACUGCAAAGAUAGAGGUUCAGAGUCCACAUUCACUGCAAAGAUAGAGGUUCAAAUUCCACAUUCACUGCAAAGAUAGAGGUUCAAAUUCCACAUUCACUGCAAAGAUAGAGGUUCAGAUUCCACAUUUGCCGCAUAUAUAGUGGUUCAAACUCCACAUUCACCGCAAAGAUAGAGGUUCAAAUCCUAUAUUUUCCGUCUCUGAAAAGCACUUUGGCAUAUGUAUACUUUCAUCCUAUUUAUGUAUACCUGGAGAAGUAUACAUGAUCAUUCUUUGUAUGUAGAAAGAGGUUUCGAUCCUAUUAUGACCAACAUUAAUAGAGGUUCCAACACUAUUUUCCAUACAUAUACAUUCAGUUUCGUCCCCUUAUAUGUAUACUUGGAAAGGUAUACAUAGUUUUUCUUUGUAUAUGAAGAUCGAACCCACAGAUAAAGGUUUCGAUCCUACUAUGACCAACAUUAAUAGAGGUUCCAACACUAUUAUCCCAUACAUAUACACUCAGUUUUGUCCCUUUUUAUGUAUACUUGGAAAGGUAUACAUAGUUUUUCUUUGUAUAUGAAGAUCGAACCCACAGAUACAGGUUUCGAUCCUAUCAUGACCGACACAGAUGUUCCAACACCAUAUUUGCUCUCUAAGAAAAACCACCUCAGUUUUGCCUCAUAUGUAUAGACAGCGAGGUAUACAUAUCUAUUCCUUGUAUGUAUAGUUGCAAAUAUAUACAUAAUUUUGACAUGUAUAGAAGCAGAUGUAUACUCUAUUUUUUGCUAGCUAUGAAAAACACACACAGGUAUACAUAUAAUUGUGCUUUGUGUAUGUGUAGAUGGGGAGGUAUACAUGAUUUUUGCCAUAUGUAUAGACCCAGAUGUAUACUCGUUUUAUUUUUGAUGUUUUGACCUUGCCCGAAAUUGACCUAUCUUGAUACCAUUUUUGCUGGCUACAAAAAGCGCACACAGGUAUACAUAUAAUUGUGCUUUGUGUAUGUGUAGAUGGGGAGGUAUACAUGAUUUUUGCCAUAUGUAUAGACCCAGAUGUAUACUCAAUUUAUUUUUGAUGUUUUGACCUCGCCCGAAAUCGACCUCACUUUUGUCCAAUAUGGGAGUGGCAAGUUGCAUUUUUAAAUUUUUUUUUUAACAUUUUUUGUUUUUCGUCGUAAAAAAAUCACACUAAAAAAUUAUAUAUAUACCUAAUUCCAGGAUCGUCUAUUUAACUAUCUAUCUAUCUAUCUAUUUUUACAUCCGUGCAGCUCUCCAGGUGUUCCGAUCUCCGUCUCAAAGAAAAUGUACACAGGUUAAUCUUCAGGGUAACUCACUUAACUAACUAUCUCAGUCUAUUUAUCUAUCUAUCUAUAUUUAUCUAUUUAUUGUUACCCUCCAUGCAGCUCUCUGUUCAUCUCGUACCCAGACAAAUUCACAGUGGUGCCUCCAAGAAGUGUGUGUGUGUGUGUUCCCAGUGUUGUAGAAGUCAGUUGUGUUGCAGAGAGAGAGAGAGAGUUGUAUUGCAGAGAGAAAAAGUUGUAUUGCAGAGCUGUGUUGCAGAGAGAGAGAGAGAGAGAGAGAGAGUUGUAUUGCAGAGAGAAAAAGUCAUAUUGCAGAGCUGUGUUGCAGAGAGAGAGAGAGAGAGUUGUAUUACAGAGAGAAAAAGUUGUAUUGCAGAGCUGUGUUGCAGAGAGAGAGAGAGAGAGAGAGAGAGACUUGUGAAUUCCAGAGUUGUGUUGCAGAGAGAGAGGUAAAGUUGUGUUGCCAAGAAAGUUCAUUGCAAAAGAGGCAACUGUGUAUAUAUUGUUUACGUAGAAAAAAAAGUUUAAAUAUUCUGUUUUUGAUGUCAAAUUUUAUUAUUACUUAUUAUUAUUAUUAUGCAUUUUAAGCAAGGUAAAGACACGAAGGGCCGCUCUCACAGUGGUCUGGUACGCACCCUAACCAAAGGCCCGACCAUCCUGUGUUACCAUCGCCUUGACCCGCCUUCACAGUGGUCUGGUACGCACCCUAACCAGAGGCCCGACCAUCCUGGCAGCACCCGUCACCAUCGCCUUGACCCGCCUUCACAGUGGUCUGGUACGCACCCUAACCAGAGGCCCGACCAUCCUGGCAGCACCCGUUACGAUCGCCUUGACCCGCCUUCACAGUGGUCUGGUAUGCACCCUAACCAGAGGCCCGACCAUCCUGUGUUACCAUCGCCUUGAUCCGCUUUCACAGUCGCUGUUUUCAUGGUAUCGGCGACUACCAGGUCAUGAUGAGACGAAGGCGCGUGACUCGGCAGUGUUGGUGUGCUAACCUAACCUAACCUUGAACCUAACCUAACCUAACCUAACCUUGAACCUAACCUAACCUAACCUAACCUUGAACCUAACCUAACCUAACCUAACCUUGAACCUAACCUAACCUUUAACCUAACCUAACCUAACCUUGAACCUAACCUAACCUAACUUAACCUAACCUAAGAAAUAUGGCCCCCGCAGCUACCAGGUUAACUCCUUCAUAUCAUUUCCAUAAGACUUCUAAAUCCAUCAACAGUCACUGCCUUAGCCUUCACGUUCUUCUGUAAACCUCUUUUGUCUACCCAUAUGAUUCACCCUCCUCCUCCUCCUCUUCCUCCUCUCUUCCUCCCUCCCCUUCUUCUCCUUCCUCUUUUUUUAAUUAUUUAUGUGUUUAUUUUAUUUGUUUUGGUAACGAUGCAAGGAUUCUCAACCUCACAAAUCGCCUUCAAAAUAUGGAAAGACUCAAAUUAUUAUUAUUAUUAUUAUUAUUAUUAUUAUUAUUAUUAUUAUUAUUAUUAUUUUUCACAUGGUAAUGAUCCAGUAGUAUUCUCAUUAGUGUAUUAUUAGUAGUAUUUUCAUUGUUAUUAUUGUACCCCUCCAAAGAUAUAUGUAUGUAUGUAUGUAUGUAUGUAUGUAUAUGGAUGUACAGAAUGUGGCUAUACAUACAUACAUACAUACAUACUCAGCACUUUCUCACCAUAGUAUUUUUUGCCUAGGAAUAGUCUGAUGAUAGUUGCUGGUUCACUAUGUUAAGCUAUUCCAAUUUUGUCAAGUUUUUUACAUGUCAAAUUUAUGUCACGAUGUUUUUGUAGUCAACGAUUUGUAGACAUAAACUUAAAAUGCUUAGCCAA